CUUUAUGCCGUGCAAUUCCAUCUAUUUGUCACCUGUUUCUUGUUCCUUAGUCGAGAGGGUUUUCGGCGAGCAUGCAUGAGAGCAAAGAAACAACCCUCAAUCUGUCUUCCCACUCACCCGUGUCUUAACUUGUCUCCCAUUCUAGUUGCCAUCAACCUCGGUCAUCCUUGUCGCCGGUACUUUGUGAAACUCAUUACCUUAGUUAGUUGCGCUUGGCUCAAUUACAUAUUGUUCACCAGCGAUGUUGUUGCCACUCGAAGGUCGGCGAGAUCUACUUGCUGCGCAAUAGCAGCUUCCACCAGAUUUAUUUAUAUUUGUGGACUCAAACGGUACAAGUGCUAUGCCUCUGCCAAGGCAUGAUUUGGGAGGACUCGAAGCUGAGGUUUCAUUUUUGUUUUAUUGUUAUUUGUUGAAUGUAAGCCCAGGCCUGUAUUUGUGUUGAGUUAAAACUUCAUUUUGUGUAACCAAGAAUGUUCUUGGAUAAAUUUGUAAGCCUGUAGGGCACUUAUUAUCUGUUUGGUUUCCA